rnacentral:sRNA from 1 species
CUGUUUCUACUUGAGCAGGGUUAAUGAAAUGGACAUGUGUGUCAAUUCCGCCUGCUGUUAAAAUUUUUCCUUCCCCGGCAAUAAUUUCAGUGGAUGCGCCGAUCACAAUAUCGACACCAUCCAUCAAUAGCGGAUUGCCCGCUUUUCCAAUCGCAAAAAUUUUGCCAUCACGAACAGCUACGUCCGCUUUGUAAAUACCUGUAUAAUCUAAAACAAUGACACUUGUGAUAACAAGAUCCGGAACGUUAUCGGCACGAACGGCAAGCGGGUGACUGCCCAUUCCAUCACGG